AUAUUGGACAAUGGGCGAAAGCCUGAUCAAGAUAUGCCGCGUAUGUGUAGAAGGUCUUCGGAUUGUAAAACUCUUUAAGUUGGGAGGAAGGGCAGUAAGAUAAAACAUUGCUCAUUUGACGUAACCGACAGAAUAAGCACCGGCUAAAUACGUGCCAGAAGCCGCGGUAAUACGAAGGGUGCACGCGUUAAUCGGAAUUAAUGGGCGUAAAGCGCGCGUAGGUGGUUUGUUAAGUUGGAAGUGAAAGACCCGAGCUCAACCUGGGAACUGCUUUCAAAACUGGCAAGCUAGAGUAUGGCAGAGGGUGGUGGAAUUUCCUGUGUAGCGGUGAAAUGCGUAGAUAUAGGAAGGAACACCAGUGGCGAAGGCGACCACCUGGGCUAAUACUGACACUGAGGUGCGAAAGCGUGGGGAGCAAAC
rnacentral:rRNA from 1 species